rnacentral:misc_RNA from 1 species
GCUAUCAUUAUUCAAAAGACACUCGGAGGUCAGUCGAAGCUUGUAGCCGUCCUCUCCCGGGCGUGACGGGCGACCGACAUCCUCCUCUUGAGAGGCGCAUGUCACAGUGCGGCACCGGUGGCAUUCGCUCCGGUUUCCUCGCAUCUGCGGCGGACCGUCUCUUGGGAAACUCAGUGGGGGCAAUUGGAUGGUCUGCGGGCGAUCCCUGCGCGGAGGCGUCAAAGCCGCCCCGGGGCAAGACCCAGGCCGGGUGCUCGGAUUUCGGGCACCCCAACCGUUUGACAAUUCUUCCCACUCCCGCGCGGAGUGCUCGGGACCUCACCUCUGUGUCCACGGAGGGGGGACCCCGGUCAAGAUAGUUACCUGGUUGAUUCUGCCAGUAGUCAUAUGCUUGUCUCAAAGAU